UAUCCCACCAACGGUCCCACUCCACUCUCCCACACCACGUACCCACCCCCAUCCAAAUCUAGAUCGAAACCCCCUCUACCGGCGGCCUCCCCUUAACUCUUCCUCUUCCUCUUCCUCAACCUCAUCUCCUCUCCUCUGCUGUCAACCCCGACAAGAAUUGAGAAAGUGAAGGCCGCCCUACGCCGUGCAACGGGGAUAUAGCCACCCGCGCACACGGCAAACUAUCGCUCGGCGUCUCCAGUAAUCAAGCAGCCGCUCGACCGUCAGCGAGCGAUUGAUGUGCGGGAGGGGAGGAGGGGGACGAGGAUGGUGCGUGUGCGGAACAUCUUAGAUCUGGCUGGGGAGCGGGAGGUGCGCGAGUUCUUGUCCUUCUUCGGCGAAAUCGAGCACGUCGACAUCAGCCCUGACGUGGUGGCGACUGGGAGGACGGCCUACGCCACCUUCAAGGACGUCGAGGGCCCUAGAGAUAACGCUGCUGCUCUCGUGUAUUUCGCUGGAAGAAAAUUAGGAAGACGCUUUUGUCUGUUAUCUCUGAUAUAUUGCACUUCGGGUGGAUGUGGAAAUUCAGCCUCCAUGCGGCGGCGUCUCUUCCUUCCCUGUCGUCGUCGAGGUCCGCCCCUCUGUGCCGCAACGGUAAGCACGCACGCAUGCCGCCGCUCCCAUGCCUCUCUCCCCGUCCCUCUCCGGCAGUUCCCUUCGUCGGCGGUGGCGGGGAAUCAGCCCAGCGGACUGGAGUACCCGUUUGGUGCGGGGUUAUAACCGAUUUGGCCUUACGGUGGCGAGCGCCGAUCGAUUGAUUGAUCGAUCAAGCCCCUGAUGUUGUGCUCGCUCCGCUCUGUUUGUUGUCCCUCAUCUAGCGCUUACUAGUUUUGUUCAUGCUCUGUUCGGUGUUAUUUUAUUACUGUAUUGGGAGGGAUAUAGUGCAUUGCCACCCAGUAAAUUACGAGAAAACCCAUAUAAAUCAUUUUUCCCAGUCAUAGUUAUUUUUUACAUAGUGCGUUGAUCCUAGAGUUGCUGAUGCGUUGGCGAAAUUCCUGUGAAUGGCAUAAUUACUUACACUAGCCACCUCUUGUUGGCUAUCGCAGCAGUCUCAUCUCUUGAAGGAUGCAUGAGGCUCUCUCAUGCUGAAGGACAUGAUGCAUGCCAUGUAUCGAUGUAUACUGUUGGAAUUAAUCAAUCAAGUUGUACUUAAUCUAUACAUGGUCAAGUAGUAUUCCUAAUCCUAUUUAGUUAGGUUCUUGAGCUGCUAUCCGGUAAGAAAAAAGGAAGUGCGCGUUACCAGCCGGCGAAUCGAUCUAGCUGAUUGUGUAGCUAGCUAGCUUCCGAAAGGGUAAGGUAUGUAGUACACGUCCAAGAUGAUCUACGGAAGAAGAUAUGUUGCUGCCAUGUAUCUCCAGAUCGCCUCUGUAUCUUGAGAUUGGAAACAUAAUUUCUUUCCUUAAUGGCAUAGGUGUGUUAUUUUUUUUGAACACAGCAAAGGUUUGUUAUUAUAUUCUAUGGAUGUUGUAUGCGUAUCUUCAGAUCAGAAACAAAACGUUUUCUUUUUCAUAAUGGCAUAGGUGGGUUAUUUAUCUCAACUUUAAUGCCAAAGAGAUAUUAUCAAAAUCUAAUGGCUAUUGUUUUACCGUGUGUUAAAUUGAUGGCCAGCCGUUUCUAAUUGUUGUUUGAUUUUCUAGGAUAAUUCUCUAAUUUGACCCAUAUUUUCUUUUUAGUAUAUAAUAGAAUAGAUUUUGCAAAGCAAUGUUUACUUUGAGUGUAAUUGUAGUGCCAUUUUUAUCUUUCAAUGUACAACGACGGUCUUGCUGCACUUGUGCUAGUCAGUGGGGAGAAAGCUAGGAACCUUGGCCUCCAAGUUCUUGCAAGGAUCAGAGGGUAUGCUGAUGUUGCUUAGGCACCUCAGCUAUUUAUAGGAGGGGACCCAACCUUCGUGUCUCGCGGCAGUGUCUUCCUUGGAUUUGUUCAUGCAACAAGGAGGGGACCCGACCUUCUUCAUGCCUCGUGCAACAAGGGUGAUCGAGGCGGAUUACCAUGCCCUGGUGGGUGUCGUGCUCUUCAACCACUUGGAAGCGGACUUCGCCGUGAAGCCUGGCGAUUGCUGCACAUAGAUGAUCAUCCAGGUGAUCGUGACGUCGGAGGUCACCGAGGUGGAGGUCCUCGAUGCCUCCGUCCUGGGGGAGGUCCACCGGCGUCUGAACUCCAAGCUUUGGUAGAUACAUCUAUAGAAGUGGUCUGUUUAGGUUGGUGGUGGAACGCUAGGGAAGGUACCCACCUUUCGAUGAUGGUUAUGUUCGUCUGAUGUUAAAUGGGAUGUCUGUGAUUUCUUCCAGUUGAGAUGUUGUUCCGUGACAUGAGUUUAUUUUGCAUUGGAUGUGUUUCUGAUUUCUAUCCA